GACGAACGCUGGCGGCGUGCUUAACACAUGCAAGUCGAACGGAAAGGCCCUGCUUUUGUGGGGUGCUCGAGUGGCGAACGGGUGAGUAACACGUGAGUAACCUGCCCUUGACUUUGGGAUAACUUCAGGAAACUGGGGCUAAUACCGGAUAGGAGCUCCUGCUGCAUGGUGGGGGUUGGAAAGUUUCGGCGGUUGGGGAUGGACUCGCGGCUUAUCAGCUUGUUGGUGGGGUAGUGGCUUACCAAGGCUUUGACGGGUAGCCGGCCUGAGAGGGUGACCGGCCACAUUGGGACUGAGAUACGGCCCAGACUCCUACGGGAGGCAGCAGUGGGGAAUAUUGCACAAUGGGCGGAAGCCUGAUGCAGCAACGCCGCGUGCGGGAUGACGGCUUUCGGGUUGUAAACAGCUUUCGAAUGUGACGAAGCGUGCGUGACGGUAAUGGGUAAAGAAGCACCGGCUAACUACGUG
rnacentral:rRNA from 1 species